UCACGCUGGGAGCUGUAGACCGGAGCUGUUCCUAUUCGGCCAUCUUGAAUUGUAGGCAUUUUUAAAAACAGACUCUGGAGAUGAAUCUUUUCUAGUUAUAUACUUUGUAUUACAUUUAUGCACUGUCUGCUGCCAAAGAUCUGAAACCAAUGAUCUCAUAUAUAUGAGUGUGUACUAGUCUCAGUAAGUCAAUGGGUUUCCCUGGAUCCAGGCUUGGAGAAAAUGUUUUCUCUUCUCUAUCUGCAAUUCUCCUGAACCAAUUCUGACGGAUAAUAUGACUGUGUCAACCACAAAAGAGGAAAAGAAUGGGCUUUAAAUCCCGCCUUUACAGCCAUCCAAGGCAGCUCCUUCUUCAAAGGAUGGAACUUUAAGGAUGGAACCAAUUGGCUACAAAUCAUUUUAGCUGAUGCACUGAGACAAUUCUGAAGCAAACUGUCUUAUCCUGGAUUUUGUCAGUAACUGGAGUUGAAGGACUUGAAGAUUCUCAAGGAUUGAUCCAGAAUAUGUUCCAGCAAAAACUACAGCAGAGUAACUUUGACAAGAAAAAUGUUCACUUGCUACCUAAGGAGAGUCUCUGUCUCCUGACCUCUGAAUUUCGAAAUCCUCAGCUCUGGCUGCCACGCAGUGGGAACCGAAUGAGAUGGCUGGGCAGGGUUCUGCAACACAGCAGAAACCCCAGGCUUCCCAAGACCCAGGAUCAGAACUGUAUAAUGUCACUUCUGCCUCACUUUGUUGGACAAAGUAUGUCACAAGAUCAUCUCAGUGGUGGUAAAAUUAUUAUUAUUAUUAUUUUAAGGCAGAGUCUCACUUUGUCACCCAGGCUGGAGUGCAGUGGUGUGAUC
rnacentral:lncRNA from 1 species